rnacentral:rRNA from 1 species
GACGAACGUUGGCGGCGUGCUUAAUACAUGCAAGUCAACUGAAGCAGUGGUAGCAAUAUCGCUGUGGAGGUGGCGCACGGGUGAGUAACACGUAGGUAAUCUGCCUUCAGGUCUGGCAUAACUCCGGGAAACCGGGGCUAAUAGCAGAUGAUGCAGCGGCUCGACAUCGAGACAGUUGUUAAAGCUAUGGCGCCUGAAGAUGAGCCUGCGUCUGAUUAGCUAGUUGGCGGGGUAACGGCCCACCAAGGCAACGAUCAGUAGCUGGUCUGAGAGGAUGAUCAGCCACACUGGAACUGAGACACGGUCCAGACUCCUACGGGAGGCAGCAGUAAGGAAUAUUGCUCAAUGGGAGAAAUCCUGAAGCAGCAACGCCGCGUGAGGGACGAAGGGCUUUUGCUUGUAAACCUCUGUAGUGAGAGAAAAAAAUCCCAAACUUUGGGACAUGAUGGUAUCUCAAAAGUAAGCCCCGGCUAACUACGUG